rnacentral:rRNA from 1 species
AUUGGACGCUGGCGGCAGGCCUAACACAUGCAAGUCGAACGAGUGGCGGACGGGUGAGUAAAGGCUGGGAAACUGCCGGAUGGAGGGGGAUAACUACUGGAAACGGUAGCUAAUACCGCAUACCAUCGGAUGUGCCCAGAGGGGAUUAGCUAGUAGGUGGGGUAAAGGCUCACCUAGGCGACGAUCCCUAGCUGGUCUGAGAGGGGGACCAGCCACACUGGGACUGAGACACGGUCCAGACUCCUACGGGAGGCAGCAGUGGGGAAUAUUGCACAAUGGGCGCAAGCCUGAUGCAGCCAUGCCGCGUGUAUGAAGAAGGCCUUCGGGUUGUAAAGUACUUUCAGCGGGGAGGCGUUACCCACAGAAGAAGCACCGGCUAACUCCGUGCCAGCAGCCGCGGUAAUUC